GAUGUCGUGAAAUCGCCCGCACACAUCGUUAUAGUGUUCCUUCUCUUUGGUACCAUUGGGGCAUCGGAACCAACGUGUUUGUCACGUUUUGACUACGAAGAGAAAAUGCUGCUUAAGAUACGGAGAUUUGAAGACGCUCUUGAGAAGUUCGACAAGAAGAUUACCAACAUUAUGGAUACGUUGGAAGAUAACGAAAGAAAGAGGAACAGUGAGACAAAGGCGACAGUGGAUGAAGCAAAACUCAACAUGAAGCUUGUAUUGGAAGAAAUAAAACAAAACAAAAAUGUUCUAAUGAACGACUCAAGAAAUCUUCAAACGCUGUUGCGAGAAGAGGAAGCACUAAAAGCUCAGAUGAUGACAUAAUUAUCUUGACAGGCUGAAAAACGCUACAAAAGACGAUGCGGCAAUAGCGUUCACAGCCAGUGUUCCGGUAGAUUCUCCCUUUCGAUUCGGCACGGUCCUCACCAACAUUGGUGGUCACUAUAAUCAGAAUACAGGGAGCUUCACUUGCGCUGUUCCAGGGCUGUAUUAUUUCAGUUACCAUUUGGUGAAGAAGAGAGCCGAUCCUAGAGUAGAUGCGUGUGGCUGUAGCCUCGGAAAAAACGUUGUCUCUGUUGGGAUAAAAGCAUACAUAGAUCCGCAAGAUCCUUUUACUUCAGGGGGUGCAGACAUGAGAAGCUACGGCGUAAGCAACGGGGCGUACCUAAACCUUUUCAGAGGGGACACAGUCCAACUGGUCGACUGUUCGUCGGUCAACUAUUUUGAGAGCUGGUCUUCGUUCAGUGGGGUUCUCGUCAAGGCUUUUUAGCUUUUCCGUUUUGACGCUUAUGUGGAAAUGUUAUUGCUGUUGAUAAAUUCACAUACAAUCUGUUAUUCUGAAAAUAAAUGUACUAGACUCACUGACUUUUAGAGUGUGUGUACAGUAGCAGCCUAUUGACUUCUUUAACGUAUUGUGUAUUUUUGUUUAAACCGUCUUUCUUUAUAUAUCAUUUCCAGUAUAGUUAAAAUAGCAGUACCAGUGAUAAAUAUAGCAAAUAUACCAAAUAUCAGUUUGAAUAUAUCUAUGAAAUCGAUUACAAAUUACCUAAAAUUA